UUCUCUACCAUAUUACUUUCCAACCGAAAGUUUCUUGAUUAAACUUUAAAUGUAUUCAAGUCCACAACAGUAUCUUUCAGAUGUAAUACUCUCUCCAUUGUAUUCUUUCUUGUCUUCGAAACCCGUUUUGUAUAAAUAUCAUACAUAAGUUAUAUACUCCCCCGUCUCUCUCACUAUUUUGCGUUAUGUGUGACGCCCCCAGAUCCACAUUCCGUAGGUCUGGUCCGCCACUAAACAUCUGGCUCAAAACAACACUUGAAUUACAUAAUCCAACUCCUGCCCCACAAGUCCAGGGUCAAUCGUCUUACAACAUUACUACCGAGUCUAACUUUAUUACAUAAAAGGAAGUCUGAUUUCAAACCAUUAUAAUAACUAUAGCUCGUAGUACCAAGAGGCGUAGUCUAGCAGUCUCAGCUCGGGUGAUGUGCCUUUUCCCUGCCUUUGCCAAAAACCCAUUUCCGGGCGGUUCUCUUGAGUUGUGCCAUACUCACUAUUUACUGUUCAAAAAGGAAUAAAAUAGAUGCAAGAAUGAGCAAUCAAAUUGCUCAGCAAGUCCACAUAGAACAAAAUAACUAUCAACAGAAUAUGCACAUAAAGCAUAGAAAGCAAUUCAAGUCAAAGCAACAAAGCAGCUACCGUCAAAUGACAACACAAGUUCAAGUAAAGAAAACGCUGGUCUUCCACCUCUCGGUAACACUACAUGGCUCGAUCAGCACCAUUUCGUGAAUACCGUUCUCCUGUGUGAUCUUUGCAGUCUGAUCGUAACCGCACAAGACACACCUACCACUCUCAUUUGCUAGCAUAAGGGUUAACAUUUGUAACCCCAAACUAUCUGCCUUACCAGAUAGUAAAUUCUCAACUCUACCACGAAUUUAAUAAAUUCGUGUUGACCAGCUUGAAUAGAUUCCUCCGAAUACAAGGAAAUUCUCCCAAACAAACACCAAUCAUCACUACUCAUCUCUACCAAAGGAGUGCGAACAAUGCACCCUUUCAACAAAGAUUACCCGAAUGUGGAAGUGAAGGAUAAUUAAAAGAACUAGAUUCCAAAGAAUAAGAUGAUCUCCAAAAAGGGAGUAAGUUAAUUGUGGUGAGAUCAUCGCUGCAAUGUAUUCAUAUCAAGUUUCGAAGAUUCAAAAUAUUAUCGUUAUUAGGACCAGCUCAUUCCCGAACAAUGAGAGGGCUCGGAUUAUAGAAAGUAAUAUAUGAACAAUAUCUUUAAAGCCUUCAAAAUGAAACGGAGAUACUUUCUCGAUUCACAUUGGUACGAAAUGUAAUAUUUUCACAAUCAACACUUUUCACACAAUUAUUAAAUAGGCAUGAGAAAUUUCACAUCAAGAGAGGGAUAGUGAACUUGCCUGACGUCCUUAGCUUAAAAAAUUAUUUUCCGAAAUUUAAUACUUCAAAGUGGCUCCUCCCAAAUAUUAUAUAACUAUUUGAUGCGACACAAAAUAGUGAUUUAGAAAUCUCACCAAAUGAGAUAAUGGUUUACAAAAUUAAAUACAAUCUCUUAAAAUAUUACGAGUAUUUUUAAUCAAUAAUCAAUUUUCCUUUAUUAAUCUCUUGACGAAAAAUUAUAGCUUCUUACUUGUAUAAAUUUUGACUAAUAUAUUGAAGUCUGAAUAAUAAUCACUUCUCUUUUAUUAAUCAAAUAGUCAUUUAUCCGCUUGACUAUUAAUAAUGCCCUUUUACCCUUUUUAGAUAACUAAUUAUCACCAAUUUAUCAAAUAAUAAACUCAGAUUACUAAAUUGUUUCUAUAUACUAAUUUUCAUUUUAAACGUCUCACCCAAAUUACUAUUUGAUUAUUAAAUCAAAUUCUUAAAUCCCCAAAAUUUACCAACUCAACAAUUAUUAUUAAACUCUUUUCAAGAUUUAUUUCCACUUCCCUAUUAUAUAUUUAUAUUUAUACCUCAAACUAAAAGUUUAAUUAAUAUUCGUACGCUACCUUUUCAAUUGAAAAUCUUAACACCUAAUCCAAUAAUUUUUUUAUUACCCAAAAACCAGCUUAUUAUACCUUUAGUAUUUAAAAACCUCAAUCUCUUUCCUUUUAUUAUUUAUUAAAACUUUCAAUUAUCAAAUUACUAAACUACCCACUCCACCAUCUCUCCCAUCUUCUUCUCUCCACCAUUUCUUCCCCCUCCGGCCGGAGUAUGGCUCCGGCGACCUGCUGUGCCAACUCUCUCUUGCUCAUCUGUUUACUCUCUCUCUCUCUCUCUAUCUGUUUCUUCCUUCUGACUUCAGCCACUUCUCCCCUCCACCAUUCUGAUCAACCACCGCGAGUCACCGUCGGCGAGCUCCGCUCGGCGGUGCUCCGGCCACCACCACCGAAACCAUCAACCAAAAUAAAAAUUCAUUCCAACUCAAUUACACAAUCCUCAAAAGAAAUUAAAAAUAACCCCAAAACCCUUUAUAAUUUUUAACCCUAAUUUACAGGUGUUGAGGAAAAGACACAAGCUUCUGCUUAGCGAAAAAGUUUAUGUGCUGAUUGAUUUUGUUAUCAACUUAUCAUUACAAUUGUAUAUUAAUGCAAUAGAGAGUAAGCAUGGGGUCCUGUAUUCAGUGGAA
rnacentral:lncRNA from 1 species